AGAGUUUGAUCCUGGCUCAGGACGAACGCUGGCGGCGCGCCUAACACAUGCAAGUCGAACGAGAGAUGAGGAGCUUGCUCUUCAGAUCGAGUGGCGAACGGGUGAGUAACGCGUGAGGAACCUGCCUCAAAGAGGGGGACAACAGUUGGAAACGACUGCUAAUACCGCAUAAGCCCACGGCUCGGCAUCGAGCAGAGGGAAAAGGAGUGAUCCGCUUUGAGAUGGCCUCGCGUCCGAUUAGCUAGUUGGUGAGGUAACGGCCCACCAAGGCGACGAUCGGUAGCCGGACUGAGAGGUUGAACGGCCACAUUGGGACUGAGACACGGCCCAGACUCCUACGGGAGGCAGCAGUGGGGAAUAUUGCACAAUGGGGGAAACCCUGAUGCAGCGACGCCGCGUGGAGGAAGAAGGUCUUCGGAUUGUAAACUCCUGUUGUUGAGGAAGAUAAUGACGGUACUCAACAAGGAAGUGACGGCUAACUACGUGCCAGCAGCCGCGGUAAAACGUAGGUCACAAGCGUUGUCCGGAAUUACUGGGUGUAAAGGGAGCGCAGGCGGGAGAACAAGUUGGAAGUGAAAUCCAUGGGCUCAACCCAUGAACUGCUUUCAAAACUGUUUUUCUUGAGUAGUGCAGAGGUAGGCGGAAUUCCCGGUGUAGCGGUGGAAUGCGUAGAUAUCGGGAGGAACACCAGUGGCGAAGGCGGCCUACUGGGCACCAACUGACGCUGAGGCUCGAAAGUGUGGGUAGCAAACAGGAUUAGAUACCCUGGUAGUCCACACCGUAAACGAUGAUUACUAGGUGUUGGAGGAUUGACCCCUUCAGUGCCGCAGUUAACACAAUAAGUAAUCCACCUGGGGAGUACGACCGCAAGGUUGAAACUCAAAGGAAUUGACGGGGGCCCGCAC
rnacentral:rRNA from 1 species